rnacentral:misc_RNA from 1 species
UGCAACCUAUAAUUCAAUAUUAUGCUUUUUGCAAACGUAAAAAAAUAUUUGAUUGUCAUUCUUGAAUUUUCAUUUGCGUGAGACGGACGUUUUGAAAGCGUAGUCGCGUGUUUGAUCCUAAAGUGAAAUAUAAGUUUUAUAAUUUAAAAAUAUAAAGAUGCCCCAAUUACAAAAAGCUGCUCCCCAAUUCAAAGGUACCGCCGUCGUAAACGGUGUUUUCAAAGACAUUUCUUUGGCUGACUACAAAGGCAAAUAUGUUGUAUUAUUCUUCUAUCCUUUGGACUUUACCUUUGUUUGCCCAACUGAAAUUAUUGCUUUUUCCGAUCGCGCUGCUGAAUUCCGCAACAUCGGAUGUGAAGUGAUUGGUUGCUCAACUGACAGCCAGUAUACCCACUUGGCCUGGAUCAAUACACCACGCAAACAAGGUGGUUUGGGUGAAAUGGAUAUUCCAUUGUUGGCCGACAAAUCCAUGAAAAUCGCUCGUGAUUAUGGUGUAUUGGAUGAAGAAACCGGUAUUCCCUUCCGUGGUCUCUUCAUCAUUGACAAAAACCAAAACUUGCGCCAAAUGACCGUCAAUGACUUACCUGUUGGUCGCAGUGUCGAUGAAACUCUUCGCUUGGUGCAGGCCUUUCAAUUCACCGAUGAACACGGUGAAGUCUGCCCAGCCAACUGGAAGCCCGGACAAAAAACCAUGGUCGCCGAUCCCAAAAAAUCUAAGGAAUAUUUUGCUGCCGCUUCAUAAAUGCUGUUGUAACAACCGCGUUUAUGAUGAACAACAUCUACAUAAAUCAGCAUAAUAACUCAACAUUUAUAUUGUAGUAUUUUUUACACCCAGUUUGUCUACAUUAUUAAUUCCUUAAAAUAUCAAUAACUACAUUAACAUUUAAAUACAUAAAAAACAACUAUUUUAUAUAUAUUCUUAAAAAAUAUCAUACCUAAAAGAGGCCCUGGACAAAGUUAAAUCUUUGUUUAGGUUUGCAGUUUCUUCAUGUUGUUAAUGCUCUUACCAAUUAUUAUACAAUAAUUCCUUAUUAGCUUUAAUGACCGAAUGGCUAAGAGAGAACCAACAUGACAUUUACAUGAAUUGUAUUUAUGUCUUUUUAUUUAAUUUGCAAGCAAAACCAAAAUAAACAAGUAUUCAAAAACAAAAAUUAAA